rnacentral:rRNA from 1 species
GGCGGCAGGCUUAACACAUGCAAGUCGAACGGAUCCUUCGGGAUUAGUGGCGGACGGGUGAGUAACACGUGGGAACGUGCCUUUAGGUUCGGAACAACACAGGGAAACUUGUGCUAAUACCGGAUAAGCCCUUCGGGGGAAAGAUUUAUCGCCUUUAGAGCGGCCCGCGUCUGAUUAGCUUGUUGGUGAGGUAAAGGCUCACCAAGGCUACGAUCAGUAGCUGGUCUGAGAGGAUGGCCAGCCACAUUGGGACUGAGACACGGCCCAAACUCCUACGGGAGGCAGCAGUGGGGAAUCUUGCGCAAUGGGGGAAACCCUGACGCAGCCAUGCCGCGUGGAUGAUGAAGGUCUUAGGAUUGUAAAAUCCUUUCAGCGGGGACGAUAAUGACGGUACCCGCAGAAGAAGCCCCGGCUAACUUCGUGCCAGCAGCCGCGGUAAUACGAAGGGGGCUAGCGUUGCUCGGAAUCACUGGGCGUAAAGCGCACGUAGGCGGACUCUUAAGUCGGUGGUGAAAUCCUGGAGCUCAACUCCAGAACUGCCUUCGAUACUGGGAGUCUUGAAUCCGGGA